rnacentral:rRNA from 1 species
UAUUAGAAAUUUUUUAUAUUUAGUAGUAAGUGAUUUUCACGAAACUAAAAUAAAUUGCGCGGCUAUAUUGAAUUUUUUAGAGAAACUUAUUCCUAUAAAGGAUAUGACCCCAAUAUCUUACUUUUUAAUGUAAAUUUCAGCUCGCUAUACCUCCUAUUUUAUUAUUUUAUAAAAAAUAGUAUUUAACUUUUUUUGGAAAGUUAAAUUUUAGGGAAAGGUGCGGUUAAUGAAAAAGUUUGAAAUAAGUUUUAUUAAUUUUUAUUUUAAAAAUUAGUUUUUGUAAUAUUUUAAUAUUUAAAAUUUAAAAGUAAAAUUGGUUUAUUAGGUUAAUUUGAAUUUCUUUUCAGUAUGUGUACCUAUCCGCCCGUCACUCCCUUUUUGAG